rnacentral:lncRNA from 1 species
AGUCUCUGUAACCUCUCACGGCUCCCGGAUGGUCCUGCAGUCCUGCUUCCUGCGCUUACACAGCUGCAAUCAUCUGGAGGCUCAAUAGGUGAAAAGUCCCGAGAGGCUUCAUCGGCUGAUUCUGGAUAAUGACAGGGCUCAGCUGGCUGCUUCCUAGUCUGCUGGGGCUCUUGCCCUAAGUAGGGCCUUUGGCUCCCCUCUGCAAGGCUUCUUACCACACUAGCCUGGGCUCCCUUACAGCAUGGCAGUCUGGUUGCAUCAAUCACAUCUGUGGGUGAAGGAUGAAGCAUGAAGAAGACAGCUGUGUUAGAAUGACUAAAGAGUGCACUUCAGUGAAGGAAGGAGCUAAGAGAAAGAAAGAUAAAGAUCCCAGAGAGACAAAGUGGAAAACCCAGAUCACCAGUAACUGUUGUUGGCCCAGAGAAUGGCUGCUGGCACUCCAGUCUAAUUCGAGGUUUGGCCGCAGAAGAACCUACUUCUGAGCUUUCUUAAGUCACGAACGGAAUUCAGUUACUUGCCACUGUGGGGUUGGAGCACUACCGUUUCUUGUUGGCUAUAGACUAGAAGUUUCCUGGAACUCUUUUUUUUUUUUUUUUUUUUUUUUGGUUUUUCGAGACAGGCUUUCUCUGUGUAGCCCUGGCUGUCCUGGAACUCACUUUGUAGACCAGGCUGGCCUCGAACUUAGAAAUCCGCUUGCCUCUGCCUCCCGAGUGCUGGGAUUAAAGGCGUGCACCACCACGCCCGGCUCCUGGAACUCUUAUAACCACCCAUGGCUCCUUGCAAGCUGGCCUAUACACUACAACAAGGCAGUUUCCUUGUAAGGUAGUAAGGAAUAGGACCAAGCAAGAUGUUGCAUAACCACAUGUCUUUCACCCUCUUUGACAUGUUCUAUUAGCUAUGGGGAGUCACACUCCCUUCAUUCCCACAUUCUAGGGGUAGGACUACACCAGGAGGCAAGGCUCUUUGGGAGCCAUUUGGAAAUAGUUAUCCACACAAAGCAACCAAAACCAAAUUCUUUAUAAAACAAAGAAUUGGGAGGGUAUAGGGAACUUUCAGGAUAGCAUUUGAAAUGUAAAUAAAGAAAAUACCUAAU